rnacentral:rRNA from 1 species
GUUAUAUGGUCAAGCGAAUAAGCGCACACGGUGGAUGCCUUGGCGGUCAGAGGCGAUGAAGGACGUGGCAGCCUGCGAAAAGUAUCGGGGAGCUGGCAACAAGCUUUGAUCCGGUAAUGUCCGAAUGGGGAAACCCACCCGCUUGCGGGUAUCCUGCAGUGAAUACAUAGCUGCUGGAAGCGAACCUGGUGAACUGAAAUAUCUAAGUAACCAGAGGAAAAGAAAUCAACCGAGAUUCCGUAAGUAGCGACGAGCGAACGCGGACUAGCCCUUAAGCUGAUUUGGUUCUAGGAAAACGCUCUGGAAAGAGUGGCCAUAGAAGGUGAUAGCCCUGUAUCUGAAAGGGCCAUUUCAGUGAAGACGAGUAGGGCGGGGCACGUGAAACCCUGUCUGAACAUGGGGGGACCAUCCUCCAAGGCUAAAUACUACUGACCGACCGAUAGUGAACCAGUACCGUGAGGGAAAGGCGAAAAGAACCCCGGAGAGGGGAGUGAAAUAGAACCUGAAACCGUGUGCGUACAAGCAGUAGGAGCUCCGCAAGGAGUGACUGCGUACCUUUUGUAUAAUGGGUCAGCGACUUACUGUUCGUGGCAAGCUUAACCGUAUAGGGGAGGCGAAGGGAAACCGAGUCUGAUAAGGGCGCAUAGUCGCGGGCAGUAGACCCGAAACCGGGUGAUCUAGUCAUGCCCAGGGUGAAGGUGCGGUAACACGCACUGGAGGCCCGAACCCACUCCCGUUGCAAAGGUAGGGGAUGAGGUGUGAUUAGGAGUGAAAAGCUAAUCGAACCCGGAGAUAGCUGGUUCUCCUCGAAAGCUAUUUAGGUAGCGCCUCAUAUGUAUCCUCUCGGGGGUAGAGCACUGUUAUGGCUAGGGGGUCAUCGCGACUUACCAAACCAUUGCAAACUCCGAAUACCGAGACGGACUGUAUGGGAGACACACGGCGGGUGCUAACGUCCGUCGUGAAAAGGGAAACAACCCAGACCCACAGCUAAGGUCCCAAAUUUUGUGCUAAGUGGAAAACCAUGUGGAAAGGCACAGACAGCCAGGAGGUUGGCUUAGAAGCAGCCACCCUUUAAAGAAAGCGUAAUAGCUCACUGGUCGAGUCGGUCUGCGGGGAAGAUUUAACGGGGCUAAGCACAGAACCGAAGCUUGGGGUGUGCAUAUUUAUAUGUACGCGGUAGAGGAGCGUUCCGUAAGCCGUUGAAGGUGGAUUGAGAAGUCUGCUGGAGGUAUCGGAAGUGCGAAUGCUGACAUGAGUAACGAUAAUGCGGGUGAAAAACCCGCACGCCGAAAGCCCAAGGUUUCCUUGCGCAACGUUAAUCGGCGCAGGGUGAGUCGGCCCCUAAGGCGAGGACGAAAGUCGUAGUCGAUGGGAAGCAGGUUAAUAUUCCUGCACCUCGCGUAAGUGCGAUGGAGGGACGGAGAAGGUUAGGUGUACCAGGCGUUGGUUGUCCUGGGGAAAGGCGGUAGGUUUGGAUCUUUGGCAAAUCCGGGAUCCUUUAAGACCGAGCACCGAGACGAGCCUUUAUGGCGAAGUCACUGAUACCACGCUUCCAGGAAAAGCUCCUAAGCUUCAGCUUACGCAGACCGUACCGUAAACCGACACAGGUGGGUAGGAUGAGAAUUCUCAGGCGCUUGAGAGAACUCGGGUGAAGGAACUAGGCAACAUGGCACCGUAACUUCGGGAGAAGGUGCACCCUUUUUGGUGGCUCAUGCGAGCUAUAGCUGAAGAGGGUCGCAGUAACCAGGCCGCUGCGACUGUUUAUCAAAAACACAGCACUCUGCAAACACGAAAGUGGACGUAUAGGGUGUGACGCCUGCCCGGUGCUGGAAGGUUAAUUGAUGGGGUCAGCCGCAAGGCGAAGCUCUUGAUCGAAGCCCCAGUAAACGGCGGCCGUAACUAUAACGGUCCUAAGGUAGCGAAAUUCCUUGUCGGGUAAGUUCCGACCUGCACGAAUGGCGUAACGACAGCGGCGCUGUCUCCACCCGAGACUCAGUGAAAUUGAAAUCGCUGUGAAGAUGCAGCGUUCCCGUGGCAAGACGGAAAGACCCCGUGAACCUUUACUAUAGCUUUACACUGAACGUUGAGUUCGUCUGUGUAGGAUAGGUGGGAGGCUAUGAAACUGUGGCGCUAGCUGCAGUGGAGCCAUCCUUGAAAUACCACCCUGUCGUGCUUGACGUUCUAACCUGGGCCCAUUAUCUGGGUCGGGGACCGUGUAUGGUGGGUAGUUUGACUGGGGCGGUCUCCUCCUAAAGAGUAACGGAGGAGCUCGAAGGUACGCUCAGCGCGGUCGGACAUCGCGCACUGUGUGCAAAGGCAUAAGCGUGCUUGACUGCAAGAUCGACGGAUCAAGCAGGUAGGAAACUAGGACUUAGUGAUCCGGUGGUUCUGUAUGGAAGGGCCAUCGCUCAACGGAUAAAAGGUACUCCGGGGAUAACAGGCUGAUACCGCCCAAGAGUUCAUAUCGACGGCGGUGUUUGGCACCUCGAUGUCGGCUCAUCACAUCCUGGGGCUGUAGUCGGUCCCAAGGGUAUGGCUGUUCGCCAUUUAAAGUGGUACGCGAGCUGGGUUCAGAACGUCGUGAGACAGUUCGGUCCCUAUCUGCCAUGGGCGUUGGAGAUUUGAGAGGGGCUGCUCCUAGUACGAGAGGACCGGAGUGGACGAACCUCUGGUGUUCCGGUUGUCACGCCAGUGGCAUUGCCGGGUAGCUAUGUUCGGAAGCGAUAACCGCUGAAAGCAUCUAAGCGGGAAGCGCGCCUCAAGAUGAGAUCUCCCGGGGCACAAGCCCCCUGAAGGAACCAUGUAGACUACGUGGUUGAUAGGUCAGGUGUGUAAGUGCAGCAAUGCAUUGAGCUAACUGAUACUAAUGAUCCGUGCGGCUUGACCAUAUAACCU